rnacentral:rRNA from 1 species
AACGAACGCUGGCGGCAGGCCUAACGCAUGCAAGUCGAGCGAAGCCUUCGGGCUUAGCGGCGGACGGGUGAGUAACGCGUGGGAACGUGCCCUUUGGUACGGAAUAGCCCCGGGAAACUGGGAGUAAUACCGUAUGUGGUCGAGAGACGAAAGAUUUAUCGCCAAAGGAUCGGCCCGCGUUGGAUUAGGUAGUUGGUGGGGUAAUGGCCUACCAAGCCGACGAUCCAUAGCUGGUUUGAGAGGAUGAUCAGCCACACUGGGACUGAGACACGGCCCAGACUCCUACGGGAGGCAGCAGUGGGGAAUCUUAGACAAUGGGGGAAACCCUGAUCUAGCCAUGCCGCGUGAUCGAUGAAGGCCUUAGGGUUGUAAAGAUCUUUCAGUGGGGAAGAUAAUGACUGUACCUGGAGAAUAAGCUCCGGCUAACUCCGUGCCAGCCGCCGCCGUAAUAC